rnacentral:rRNA from 1 species
UACGUAGGGGGCAAGCGUUGUCCGGAAUCAUUGGGCGUAAAGAGCGCGUAGGCGGUCCGGUAAGUCCGCUCUGAAAGCCCGGGGCUCAACCCCGGGAGGCGGGCGGAUACUGUCGGGCUAGAGUCCGGAAGAGGCGAGUGGAAUUCCUGGUGUAGCGGUGAAAUGCGCAGAUAUCAGGAGGAACACCGAUGGCGAAGGCAGCUCGCUGGGACGGUACUGACGCUGAGACGCGAAAGCGUGGGGAGCGAACAGG